rnacentral:rRNA from 1 species
GGAACGCUAAUACCGCAUACGUCCUACGGGAGAAAGCAGGGGACCUUCGGGCCUUGCGCUAUCAGAUGAGCCUAGGUCGGAUUAGCUAGUUGGUGAGGUAAUGGCUCACCAAGGCGACGAUCCGUAACUGGUCUGAGAGGAUGAUCAGUCACACUGGAACUGAGACACGGUCCAGACUCCUACGGGAGGCAGCAGUGGGGAAUAUUGGACAAUGGGCGAAAGCCUGAUCCAGCCAUGCCGCGUGUGUGAAGAAGGUCUUCGGAUUGUAAAGCACUUUAAGUUGGGAGGAAGGGCAUUAACCUAAUACGUUAGUGUUUUGACGUUACCGACAGAAUAAGCACCGGCUAACUCUGUGCCAGCAGCCGCGGUAAUACAGAGGGUGCAAGCGUUAAUCGGAAUUACUGGGCGUAAAGCGCGCGUAGGUGGUUUGUUAAGUUGGAUGUGAAAGCCCCGGGCUCAACCUGGGAACUGCAUCCAAAACUGGCAAGCUAGAGUACGGUAGAGGGUGGUGGAAUUUCCUG